ACUGCCAUAUCACGUUGAAACACCGUUUAACGUACGAUCACCGAAGUUAAGCAACGUCGUGCCUGGUCGGUACCUAGAUGGGUGACCGCUUGGGGGAAACCAGGUGCU